rnacentral:rRNA from 1 species
AGUGGGGAAUAUUGGACAAUGGGCGAAAGCCUGAUCCAGCCAUGCCGCGUGUGUGAAGAAGGCCUUCGGGUUGUAAAGCACUUUCAGUGGGGAAGAAAGCCUUGGGGCUAAUACCCUCGAGGAAGGACAUCACCCACAGAAGAAGCACCGGCUAACUCCGUGCCAGCAGCCGCGGUAAUACGGAGGGUGCGAGCGUUAAUCGGAAUUACUGGGCGUAAAGCGCGCGUAGGCGGCGUGAUAAGCCGGUUGUGAAAGCCCCGGGCUCAACCUGGGAACGGCAUCCGGAACUGUCAGGCUAGAGUGCAGGAGAGGAAGGUAGAAUUCCCGGUGCAGCGGUGAAAUGCGUAGAGAUCGGGAGGAAUACCAGUGGCGAAGGCGGCCUUCUGGACUGACACUGACGCUGAGGUGCGAAAGCGUGGGUAGCAAACAGGAUUAGAUACCCUGGUAGUCCACGCCGUAAACGAUGUCGACUAGCCGUUGGGGUCCUUGUGACCUUUGUGGCGCAGUUAACGCGAUAAGUCGACCGCCUGGGGAGUACGGCCGCGAGGUUA